rnacentral:rRNA from 1 species
CACCAGCGCCACGAGUGGGAAUCGCAUAUUUGGCCUAAAGCGUCCGUAGCCGGUCUUGUAAAUUCCCUGUGAAAUCGUUGUGCUUAACAUAACGGCGUGCAGGGAAGACUGCUUGACUCGGAAUCGGGGGGGGUCGGGAGUAUUCGAUGGGGAGCGGUAAAAUGCGAUAAUCCAUUGAAGACUACCUGUGGCGAAGGCGCCCGACCAGAACGAAUUCGACGGUGAGGGACGAAAGCUGGGGGAGCGAUCC